UAACGUGGUCUGUUAUAAUUAGUGUGCAUUUGCGUACAUAGUUUGUCCUGCAGGUCCUUUGUUUAUAUUCUCUUGGACAGUAGAGGACCAUUGACUCUCACAAAGUUUCAUUCUAAAACUGUGACUGUUUAUAAAACAAAACAUAAAGCCACAUUGGAGAUUUUGAUAGCCCUUCAUCUGGCAACCCUUGUUCGUGAGCGUUCACGCCAAAUACUGCGAGAUUGGUCUUCACCACGCCCACAUUUCUAUUAAGCCUCAUUUGCAUGCAUACGACGGGAUAUACUUUUCGUGCACUGAGUAAAUGACCGCAGUUCUGUGCAUUAUGGCGCGUCCUCACCGAAAAGUGGUCAGUUGUCUCGGGUUGUGAGGGUUCUUUCCAGCGUGUCCAGCUAUGUCAGCUGAUGGUGACUGCUUCAGAAAAGAGGCGGAGAGGUGGAGAGCAUGCAGUUCUUUGUGCGGGUGCAUCCAAUAGCAGGACAGCGUCAGUCCCCUGCAUUCCUCCCAGAAUUCCGUAGCACCUUUCUCGGAGGAAAGUGGACGGGUAAACGUGAACAGGACCAUGAAAGAUUGUGUUUUAUGAAUUUUGUGAGUCUGCCGCUGCACUUUUGCUUUGUUUGUUACUCUGCUGCCAGUUUAAGCAGUUUUAUUAAGCGUAUGUGCUUGGUGUGCUUGGUUUUUACUGCUGCCCUGACUGAGAGCGCUCUCCAGGAUGUGCCCCUUAAGUAGCGGAGCCUCGGGUAGGUAUCUUGUGCUCGCUUCGGCAGCACAUAUACUAAAAUUGGAACGAUACAGAGAAGAUUAGCAUGGCCCCUGCGCAAGGAUGACACGCAAAUUCGUGAAGCGUUCCAUAUUUUUGUACCUUACGUGAGGUCUGACGAAUGUUUUUUCACUGUUUGACCCCAUAUUUGGUCCUUGGUUCGACUUUCUGAAUCGUAAGCCUCAGAGCCUCGGGUGCUAUGAAAUGAAGGAGACGUGUGACCUCUGGUGGCGCUUACUGGUUGUGAGGAUUCUUUCCAGCUAUGUCAGCUGAUGGUGACUGCUUCAGAAAAGAGGCGGAGAGGUGGAGAGCAUGCAGUUCUUUGUGCGGGUGCAUCCAAUAGCAGACUCCGUAUUUUGGUCCUUGUUCUUACUCUGAAUCCUGAUCCUGUAUCUAGGACACAAGAUGGUGGUGCCCUGUGUGAGGUCUGAACUUUGCGAGGCAGGCCUCGGUGGCCCGGAAGGACCGCUGUGCCUGGGGCCCGCCUUCCUCUUCAUCGGAGCCGGAGGGGGACAAAGCAGGGGCUGCGGGACCUCUACUCAGGACUUUGGCAGGAUCAGCUUUGCGAAGA